GCCGGGAUGUUGGAACGGUAGACAACGGGGACUUAAAAUCCCCUCCCCGUAAGGGGGUGCGGGUUCAAAUCCCGCUCCCGGCA
rnacentral:tRNA from 1 species